CCGUACCCGAAACCGACACAGGUGGUCAGGUAGAGUAUACCAAGGCGCUUGAGAGAAGUGUCCUGAAGGAACUCGGCAAAUUGCCUCCGUACCUUCGGAAGAAGGAGGCCCCAACUAAGCGCAAGCUCUGUUGGGGGGCACAGGCCAGGGGGUAGCGACUGUUUAGCAAAAACACAGGACUCUGCUAAGUCGGCUUCAAGACGACGUAUAGGGCCUGACGCCUGCCCGGUGCCUGAAGGUUAAGUGGAGGGGUGCAAGCUCUGAAAUGAAGCCCAGGUAAACGGCGGCCGUAACAAUAACGGUCCUAAGG
rnacentral:rRNA from 1 species